CAAGUUAGUUGCCUGGGAGAGCCAUGUUGUUUGUUGCUCAAUGAAAGAAAAGAAAUUGCCCAAAAUCCAAGUUGACAAGAUAAUGCCAUUUACAAAUGGUGCACAAAACCCGCAGAGAUCAUCAACUUAGGGCACCAAGAUUUACACUUUAAUCAUCAGCAAUUUAUCUUACUGAUAACUCAAUCAACUUGGAUAUUUCUCACCAUUGACUUAAGAAAGCAGAGCAGACACUGUGCUGGGGACUUUGAGCAAUGCAGAGGAAUGGAGAAUGCCCCCCAAGAACUUAGAAGAGAUGGACAUUUGCAUUAUUCUCUGUAAUGACUGCACAGUGUGAUGAGGAAACUGAUGCAGAGAGAAGCAGCUGGGCUUGCCGGCUGCCAUACAGAUGUACAAGCAUCAGGGCCAGGUUUUACACCAGGCAGGCUGACCCCAGAAUGCUUGCUGUCGACAUGGGGAGUAACUGCCAAGUGGCUGUGGGCAUCCCCAAAUGAUGUUUGCUUAUUUGUUUGUUUUUGAAGGAAGGCAUUGUAAAUAAUGUCACUGAAAAAUAAAUGGGCUCUGAUUAGAUA
rnacentral:lncRNA from 1 species